GACGAACGCUGGCGGCGUGCUUAACACAUGCAAGUCGAACGGAGAGGCCCUGCGUUUGUGGGGUGCUCGAGUGGCGAACGGGUGAGUGAAACAUGAGUAAACUGCCCUUGACUUUGGGAUAACUUCCGGGGACUGGGGCUAAUACAGGGUAGAAGACACUGCUGCAUGUGGGGGGGUGGAAAGUUUUGCUGGUUGGGGAUGGACUCGCGGCCUAUCAGCUUGUUGGUGGGGUAGUGGCUUACCAAGGCGACGACGGGUAGCCGGCCUGAGAGGGUGACCGGCCACACUGGGACUGAGACACGGCCCAGACUCCUACGGGAGGCAGCAGUGGGGAAUAUUGCACAAUGGGCGGAAGCCUGAUGCAGCGACGCCGCGUGAGGGAUGACGGCCUUCGGGUUGUAAACCUCUUUCAGCACGGAAGAAGCGAGAGUGACGGUACGUGCAGAAGAAGCGCCGGCUAACUACGUG
rnacentral:rRNA from 1 species